GACGAACGCNGGCGGCGUGCUUAACACAUGCAAGUCGAACGAAGAGCGAUGGAAGCUUGCUUCUAUCAAUCUUAGUGGCGAACGGGUGAGUAACGCGUAAUCAACCUGCCCUUCAGAGGGGGACAACAGUUGGAAACGACUGCUAAUACCGCAUACGAUCUAAUCUCGGCAUCGAGGAUAGAUGAAAGGUGGCCUCUACAUGUAAGCUAUCACUGAAGGAGGGGAUUGCGUCUGAUUAGCUAGUUGGAGGGGUAACGGCCCACCAAGGCGAUGAUCAGUAGCCGGUCUGAGAGGAUGAACGGCCACAUUGGGACUGAGACACGGCCCAGACUCCUACGGGAGGCAGCAGUGGGGAAUCUUCCGCAAUGGACGAAAGUCUGACGGAGCAACGCCGCGUGAGUGAUGACGGCCUUCGGGUUGUAAAGCUCUGUUAAUCGGGACGAAAGGCCUUUUUGCGAAUAGUGAGAAGGAUGACGNAC
rnacentral:rRNA from 1 species